rnacentral:rRNA from 1 species
AUUGAACGCUGGCGGCAGGCCUAACACAUGCAAGUCGAACGGUAGCACAGAGAGCUUGCUCUCGGGUGACGAGUGGCGGACGGGUGAGUAAUGUCUGGGAAACUGCCCGAUGGAGGGGGAUAACUACUGGAAACGGUAGCUAAUACCGCAUAACGUCGCAAGACCAAAGUGGGGGACCUUCGGGCCUCACACCAUCGGAUGUGCCCAGAUGGGAUUAGCUAGUAGGUGGGGUAAUGGCUCACCUAGGCGACGAUCCCUAGCUGGUCUGAGAGGAUGAACAGCCACACUGGAAGUGAGACACGGUCCAGACACCUACGGGAGGCAGCAGUGGGGAAUAUUGCACAAUGGGCGCAAGCCUGAUGCAGCCAUGCCGCGUGUAUGAAGAAGGCCUUCGGGUUGUAAAGUACUUUCAGCGGGGAGGAAGGCGGUGAAGUUAAUACUCUGCAAUUUUGACGUUACCGACAGAAUAAGCACCGGCUAACUCUGUGCCAGCCGCCGCAGUAA